rnacentral:rRNA from 1 species
CCUACGGGAGGCAGCAGUGAGGAAUAUUGGACAAUGGAGGCAACUCUGAUCCAGCCAUGCCGCGUGCAGGAAGACGGCCCUAUGGGUUGUAAACUGCUUUUAUACAGGAAGAAUUGUGCCUACGUGUAGGUAUUUGACGGUACUGUACGAAUAAGGAUCGGCUAACUCCGUGCCAGCAGCCGCGGUAAUACGGAGGAUCCAAGCGUUAUCCGGAAUCAUUGGGUUUAAAGGGUCCGUAGGCGGUCUGAUAAGUCAGGGGUGAAAGUUUGCAGCUCAACUGUAAAAUUGCCUUUGAUACUGGUUAUCUUGAGUUGUAUUGAAGUAGGCGGAAUAUGUAGUGUAGCGGUGAAAUGCAUAGAUAUUACAUAGAACACCAAUUGCGAAGGCAGCUUACUAAGUACUAACUGACGCUGAUGGACGAAAGCGUGGGUAGCGAACAGGAUUAGAUACCCUGGUAGUCCACGCCGUAAACGAUGGAUACUAGCUGUUCGGGGCCUUGAGUUCUGAGCGGCUAAGCGAAAGUGAUAAGUAUCCCACCUGGGGAGUACGUUCGCAAGAAUGAAACUCAAAGGAAUUGACGGA